rnacentral:lncRNA from 10 species
AGUGUCAUAAUACACCAUGAGGUGGUUGGGUCCCAUUUCCAGAACAACCAGAGUGACGUCUGAACAAUGCUCUCUAAACAAGAUCUUCAUGUCUGCUCCCAAAGAGGGUUGCUACAUUCUUAGCUUCCCUCAAUUUAAUUCUUUUAUGAUAAAAAGAAGGAAGGAGGCUUAGCAGAGGUGCUUGAAGAAGGCCUCCACCUAAAGCCUCAGAGAAAGACACCUAGGAAUGAAGGUGCCUGGGCUUGGAAUGCAAAUGGCGGAAGAACUUGAUGGACCGGAGCAGCCUGGCCUGAGUCCUUUUCUGCCAUUCCCCUUGGACACUGCCAUCCUCUGGAUGGGCGUCAAGCCUGCUGUGGAAAGGGCAGCUUCCACUUCGAGGCCUGUCACAUAAACCUUUUGUAAUCAUUUGUGGUCACACCUGGAAAAUAGUAAGUAGGUUUUUAACCAGGAGUUGGACUCCUCACACCAAUACUGUUUAAAAAAAUGAUAAUUUAAGUUUCACACAUGUUUCUUUUGAGUAGCCUGUGAGAAAGGAAAUUAGUGAACAGAAAAUGUUCAGAGCAAUCAUCCUCUGAAAAUUCAUAUAAAUGACAGCAGAAAUACAAGAAGGAGAUUGGAUUUCAAUCCUCUUGGAAACAAUUGAUUUGGAAGUGGUCUGUGGUCUAAAGAUUUUGACAAAAUUUUAGGAGCAAGUAAAGAUGAUAUAAAUAUAUAAAGAGACAGAACAGAAGGGAGAUAGCCACAUUUCAGAAAACAUGGAGAAAUUAUACAAGUGAUUCUUCCCAGGAAAUUCUUCAGAAAUGUCCAAAGAAAAAAUUAUGGACUUACAAAUCUGACUGUGCGAUGACUGCAAAAUCCUCCUUUAUCUUCCUCUCCCUGACAUGCAUGCAAACACACACACACACACACACACACACACACACACCCUGAGAUUUGCAUCAUUUGUCUUUAGGCUAAAAUAAGGGAAAACAUUUCAAAAUGAUUUACCGAUUUUUUUAAAUGAUGGGCACAGUAACCAUAAUUAAGUCUUCCGUAUUUGGCAUUGGAAUGAAGGUAACGGGAUCAAACCCUUCUAUUUACUUCUCCUUACUCAUCCAAAGAUGCAGUCAACCAU